CUAGCUAGCGAUGAUCGGACCAUCGGACUUAAGCCAAUGAACUAGCUGUCUUGGCAGUUCCGGUGUCCCGUUUCAAGUUUUGAAUUCACAAACGAAGCGCCCAUUCUAGUGCCGUCGCCUUGUAGCGAGUGUAAAGGAAGGAAGAUUCAUAGGCCUAAGAAAAUUUGCCAAGUCAUAGUGAAGUAAAAUAUUUUCAAGCCUUGAAACUUGUUUAACAACAUUUAAAUCUAUCCUGAACAUCUUUGUUUCCUGACUUCAUCUGAACUGGAUCAAAAAGUACUAAGAAGUUUCAAAAGCUCAAGAUUGUCAAAAUCGGGCCAGUUUGCAGAAUUCUGAAAUGCGACGAUGCAACUAGAUGU